CCGAGUUUCUACUCUCAAACCCUUGCAAACCUACCUGUCACGAUGCUUCGGCGACCGGCCCUCGGGGGGGCGUCACAAGCGGUCGCCGACAGUAUUCAAAAAUCUAUUUUUUUUCAGAGUCUCUGAAUGACCUAAAAAACAAAUCA
rnacentral:misc_RNA from 1 species